ACGGAAGGCAGCAGUGGGGAAUAUUGCACAAUGGGCGAAAGCCUGAUGCAGCGACGCCGCGUGAAGGAAGAAGUAUUUCGGUAUGUAAACUUCUAUCAGCAGGGAAGAAAAUGACGGUACCUGACUAAGAAGCCCCGGCUAACUACGUGCCAGCAGCCGCGGUAAUACGUAGGGGGCAAGCGUUAUCCGGAUUUACUGGGUGUAAAGGGAGCGUAGACGGCAAUGCAAGUCUGAAGUGAAAGGCAUGGGCUCAACCUGUGGACUGCUUUGGAAACUGUAUGGCUAGAGUGUCGGAGAGGUAAGCGGAAUUCCUAGUGUAGCGGUGAAAUGCGUAGAUAUUAGGAGGAACACCAGUGGCGAAGGCGGCUUACUGGACGAUGACUGACGUUGAGGCUCGAAAGCGUGGGGAGCAAACAGGAUUAGAUACCCUGGUA
rnacentral:rRNA from 1 species